UAUGUCUGUUUGGUGACGUUGGAUUAUCAUAAGACUGUUUGCCAGCAUGCUGUUUUGUUGGUGCACAGAAGAAGAUGGUUCUCCCUCUUGAUACAUGGUCCUUUGAGACUUACUUCCAGAAAAUGAAUCCACAACCUUUCCUUA